GCAUUAAGCACUCCGCCUGGGGAGUACGACCGCAAGGUUGAAACUCAAAGGAAUUGACGGGGGCCCGCACAAGCGGUGGAGCAUGUGGUUUAAUUCGAAGCAACGCGAAGAACCUUACCAGGUCUUGACAUCCUUUGACCACUCUGGAGACAGAGCUUUCCCUUCGGGGACAAAGUGACAGGUGGUGCAUGGUUGUCGUCAGCUCGUGUCGUGAGAUGUUGGGUUAAGUCCCGCAACGAGCGCAACCCUUGAUUUUAGUUGCCAGCAUUUAGUUGGGCACUCUAAAGUGACUGCCGGUGCAAGCCGGAGGAAGGUGGGGAUGACGUCAAAUCAUCAUGCCCCUUAUGACCUGGGCUACACACGUGCUACAAUGGAUGGUACAAAGGGUCGCGAAGCCGCGAGGUGGAGCCAAUCCCAUAAAACCAUUCUCAGUUCGGAUUGUAGGCUGCAACUCGCCUACAUGAAGCCGGAAUCGCUAGUAAUCGUGGAUCAGCAUGCCACGGUGAAUACGUUCCCGGGCCUUGUACACACCGCCCGUCACACCACGAGAGUUUGUAACACCCGAAGUCGGUAGGGUAACCUUUAUGGAGCCAGCCGCCGAAGGUGGGACAGAUAAUUGGGGUGAAGUCGUAACAAGGUAGCCGUAUCGGAAGGUGCGGCUGGAUCACCUCCUUUCUAAGGAA
rnacentral:rRNA from 1 species